rnacentral:rRNA from 1 species
CUACGGGACGCAGCAGUGGGGAAUUUUGGACAAUGGGGGCAACCCUGAUCCAGCCAUUCCGCGUGAGUGAAGAAGGCCUUCGGGUUGUAAAGCUCUUUCGGCAGGAACGAAACGGUGUGGGCCAAUACCCUGCAUCAAUGACGGUACCUGAAGAAGAAGCACCGGCUAACUACGUGCCAGCAGCCGCGGUAAUACGUAGGGUGCGAGCGGUAAUCGGAAUUACUGGGCGUAAAGCGCGCGCAGGCGGUUGUGUAAGACAGGUGUGAAAUCCCCGGGCUUAACCUGGGAACUGCGCUUGUGACUGCACGACUAGAGUGUGGCAGAGGGGGGUGGAAUUCCACGUGUAGCAGUGAAAUGCGUAGAGAUGUGGAGGAACACCGAUGGCGAAGGCAGCCCCCUGGGUUAACACUGACGCUCAUGCACGAAAGCGUGGGUAGCAAACAGGAUUAGAUACCCUCGUAGUC